rnacentral:lncRNA from 1 species
AUGCUGCCUCAUAUUAAGAUUUUGCUGGGUAAAGAAGUACUAAAGGCAAUGAUGAUCUAAGAAGAUCUCACAACAGACUCCAUACAAGUAGUGCCUCUACAACUUCAAGGCAAGCACGACUGCACGCAAUCCCAAAUCAUGGGUAGCAUACCUCUUCUCAUGAGGCUUUAAUUGAAGAGACACAUACGCAAUCACCUUGCCCUCCU